rnacentral:rRNA from 1 species
AUUGAACGCUGGCGGCAUGCCUUACACAUGCAAGUCGAACGGCAGCACGGGUGCUUGCCCCUGGUGGCGAGUGGCGAACGGGUGAGUAAUACAUCGGAACAUGUCCUGUAGUGGGGGAUAGCCCGGCGAAAGCCGGAUUAAUACCGCAUACGAUCUACGGAUGAAAGCGGGGGACCUUCGGGCCUCGCGCUAUAGGGUUGGCCGAUGGCUGAUUAGCUAGUGGGUGGGGUAAAGGCCUACCAAGGCGACGAUCAGUAGCUGGUCUGAGAGGACGACCAGCCACACUGGGACUGAGACACGGCCCAGACUCCUACGGGAGGCAGCAGUGGGGAAUUUUGGACAAUGGGCGAAAGCCUGAUCCAGCAAUGCCGCGUGUGUGAAGAAGGCCUUCGGGUUGUAAAGCACUUUUGUCCGGAAAGAAAUCCUUGGCCCUAAUACGGUCGGGGGAUGACGGUACCGGAAGAAUAAGCACCGGCUAACUACGUG